ensembl:snoRNA SNORA70 Small nucleolar RNA SNORA70
CUGCAGUCAGUUAAACUGACCACCGUCCUCUCCCCAUUUUGGCCAGCUGUGCAGUGGCUGUAGACAGUAGCCUCAUUGGUAGUGUAUGCAGCCUGUUGUCCAAAUGGGUUGCCCUAAGGAACCUUACAGAGAGCC